rnacentral:rRNA from 1 species
AACGAACGCUGGCGGCAGGCUUAACACAUGCAAGUCGAACGCCCGUAGCAAUACGGGAGUGGCGGACGGGUGAGUAACGCGUGGGAACGUGCCCUAAGGUACGGAAUAACUGCGGGAAACUGCAGCUAAUACCGUAUGUGCCCGAAAGGGGAAAGAUUUAUCGCCUUAGGAGCGGCCCGCGUCGGAUUAGCUAGUUGGUGGGGUAACGGCCUACCAAGGCUUCGAUCCGUAGCUGGUCUGAGAGGACGAUCAGCCACACUGGGACUGAGACACGGCCCAGACUCCUACGGGAGGCAGCAGUGGGGAAUCUUGCGCAAUGGGCGAAAGCCUGACGCAGCCAUGCCGCGUGAACGAUGAAGGCCUUAGGGUUGUAAAGUUCUUUUGCCCGUGACGAUGAUGACGGUAACGGGAGAAUAAGCUCCGGCUAACUUCGUGCCAGCAGCCGCCGUAAAAC